CAGAAAACCCUGAGGGGGUGGACUGUAGGGUAAAGAAAAUAUCAGGCUUUUCUGCCCUUCCGCCAUCAGGAUAGAUGAUGGAUCCUUGUCCUGAAUGCAUGCCUGAUGGCGGGCACCUGGAAUAGGGUGUGGGCAUAGGUGGAUGGGAUUCAGCUGAGCUAAGACUGUGCUUUUAAGGGCGGCUUCACGGGGACGCCAGCAGCAGCAGCAGCAGCACCAGUAGCAGCAGUAGAAGCCGAAGCUGAGAAGCAGCAGAACGAACUCCAGAGAGCCCAGAUAGAGUGAAGACCAGCCAGCACCCCUGCCUGCCAUAUGCCUGGUGAACCCCAAUAAAAGACCUGCAAAAAACCACUGAGGACUCUGACUCCUCCUUUACCCGGUCUGCAUGGGAUCAGAAAACCUGCAUUGUGGCCAGCCUGGCCUCUACAGGGAGUAAUUGACAACUGGAAGAAAAACAAGGUUCUCAGUCCUACAACCUCAAACAACUGAAUCCUGCCAACACCCAAAUAAGUGAGACAUUCCCAAAGGAACAGAGGUCUGCUGACACCUUGGCUUUAGUGGAGUGAUACCUGUGUUGGACAUCUUAACCUCCAAAACUGAAGAAUCUUCAUAAAAAUAGGAGAAUGAAGAUGAAAUAAUUCAUUUCAAAGUGCCUUUACAACUUCAGCUAAUCAGUCAUUUUGAAAUGCAAUUAGCAAUUAAAAAGGACAGCAAAAACUGACAAUAUAUAUUAUUAAAAAACAUGGAAAAACUAAGCAUGUGUUUUCAUGCUGCAACUUCAGUAGCAAGUUCACAGCAGUAAUUACAGGUUUCAUGUUAUCAAGAGAUGGGAUCCAAAUGUCUGUUGUCAACUCCUAAAUCAGCAAGUUAUGGCCAGAAAGGUACUACAACAUAGAUAUAUGUUGCUGAAGACUCACCUCCUCACAGAGAACAUUCUGAGGAAGAAAGAUCAUGUCAAUAACAAGCCAAUGCAAAAGCAUCUACUAAAAGGAAUAUUCUUGGUAAAGAUAAAACAUAAAUAGCAGGAUACUCUAUAAAGUAAUAUUUUAUAUCAGUUCAGUGAACUAAAGUAUCAACUAGCAAAUUUCAUACUUCAGCACAAAACUAAACUAUUUCAGUCAUAAAUGACAGCUGUUCUCUUCAGAAAAGAAUGAUCAGGCAAAAACCAUCAAAGAUACAAAGUUUGUAACUACUGAAUAGAAUAUACAAGAUUUCAGAGAAAAUACAGUAAUGCUGAAGCAGUCUCCAUGCCUUUCCCUUUAUCACAGAAUUCAGAAAGCCAAUAGACCUAGAAAUGAGAGAACAUAGGAAAUACGUUUAUAUAGAACCUUUCUAUCACAAACCCUCAGGUCACAGACAGAAUGUGAAUGUGUGGAGGGGAGAGAGAGGGAAAAUGUGGCAAGCAGAGUUUUCCAAGUUAUUAGAAGAAUUGGGACUAAAUGUACCUGUGGUUUGUUCCUUGUCUGCAACUCAGAAGAAAGGUAGCCACACAUAUAUUCUCAGUGUAAAGGAAUCAAUAAAGACAUAGCUCAGCAGUGGGUGACCAAAAUGAUGGUUAAGAAGGGGUUUUAAAUUUUUUUAAAUACACAGUCUCUGAGAGGCAAAAUUUAAGGAGGCAGAGAGGGUCUGAAGUCCCCAUGUGCCUCAGCAAGAGACAGACAACAUGGCUAAGAGUAAGCUCUGCUGGCCUCAAAGUGGAGCAACAUGGGGGCAAGGAAUGUUUCUCGAGGAUGACAUAAAGUCACCCCGUACAAGCUGAUAUGCAGGGAAUCACAAGCAGGCAUCAAAUAGGAGAUGCAACAGGACAUCAAGGGAUUAGCUCUAACAAACGCCAGGAUGGAAUUGAAUCAACAGGAAAAUGCUGCAAAGCCUUGCUGGAGCAAUCACCUCAGAUGGUCUGUGCCAAAAAAAAUAGAGCUAUAUUUUUAUCAGUACAAGCACAGACCAGUUGCAUCCCUCUGCAAUGGUGUUAAACUUUACCCGAAUCUAGCCCUAAUCCCAAUACAUAGGGCAAGUGGACCAGCUCCUUGAACUGACUAAAUGUUAAAUUGAAAUGACUGAUAAAUCACUGGAAUUAAGCUAAUUUGGCUGGAAGCAUCCAGAUUAAAGUUUUAGUUUCAAACUGACUGGAGGUAAGAGUCAGACAUUUAAAUCAAUGUUAAAAAUAAAAUUAACAACAACAACAACAAAAAAUUUAUGGAAACUUGUAAUAGUAUCCCUUUUCCUUUAUAUUUUAAUUUGGAGUAAAUAGCAGAAGUGACAGUGGAUAUGUUUAAUUUAAUUUUUUUUUUUACUGCAAUAAAGGCAAAACUAUCUUGCAAACUAGAAUUCAUACCAUUAUAAAUACAUUUUGAUUAUAUAUAUAUAGGCAGGAGGAAACAGUUUAGAGAAUAAAAUUAUGAACAGAGAACAUGGUAGAAAAUAAAUGUUUGAGACGGGUAUUAAGUAAUUUGUUUUUUAUCAGGCAAAUCAUUAGAAAAUAGUGAGAGAAAACAGUGUGAUUAAAAGUGUCAAAGUGUUGUGGUCUGUGUGUGUCUGUGUGUAAUUAUGUGC